rnacentral:rRNA from 1 species
ACGAACGCUGGCGGCGUGCUUAACACAUGCAAGUCGAACGGAAAGGCCCUGCUUUUGUGGGGUGCUCGCGUGGCGAACGGGUGAGUAACACGUGAGUAACCUGCCCUUGACUUUGGGAUAACUUCAUGAAACUGGGGCUAAUACCGGAUAGGAGCUCCUGCUGCAUGGUGGGGGUUGGAAAGUUUCGGCGGUUGGGGAUGGACUCGCGGCUUAUCAGCUUGUUGGUGGGGUAGUGGCUUACCAAGGCUUUGACGGGUAGCCGGCCUGAGAGGGUGACCGGCCACAUUGGGACUGAGAUACGGCCCAGACUCCUACGGGAGGCAGCAGUGGGGAAUAUUGCACAAUGGGCGGAAGCCUGAUGCAGCAACGCCGCGUGCGGGAUGACGGCCUUCGGGUUGUAAACCGCUUUCGCCUGUGACGAAGCGUGAGUGACGGUAAUGGGUAAAGAAGCACCGGCUAACUACGUG